rnacentral:rRNA from 1 species
AUACGGGGGAUCCGAGCGUUAUCCGGAUUUAUUGGGUUUGAAGGGUGCGCAGGCGGCCAUUUACGUCAGCGGUUAAAUCGUGGGGCUCAACCCCAUUCUGCCGUUGAUACUGGGUGGCUUGAUUGCGGUCGAGGUUGGCGGAAUUCGGUGUGUAGCGGCGAAAUGCAUAGAUAUGACGAAGAACACCGAUUGCGUAGGCAGCUGACCAGACCGCAAAUGACGCUCAUGCACGAAAGUGCGGGGAUCGAACAGGAUUAGAUACCCUGGUAGUCCGCACAGUAAACGAUGAAUACUUGUUUUCGGCGAUAUAAUGUCGGAGGCAAAGCGAAAGCGAUAAGUAUUCCACCUGGGGAGUACGCCGGCAACGGUGAAACUCAAAGGAAUUGACGGGG